rnacentral:lncRNA from 1 species
AAAGUUAAGAAAAAAUGUAAUUAUAUUUAAAUUUUCAUACAUAAUAUACUAAUAAUAUAAAAGUUCAGAUUAGAUUAGUUAAAGUUGAAGAAAUAUGCGAGUCACAUAUUAUAUCUCAUGAAUAAACCAAUUAACAUAAAUUAAUUCGAAACAAAUUUUAUAAAUUAACAUAUCACAUGAGUGUUAACUUAAAAAUGUAAUAAACUAUUUAUUAUAUUAUAUACUUUCCCGCUAAGUGAGUUGGCGCCCAAAAUCCUCUCUUAUAUAUAAAGACAGUAACAGUAAACGCAACAUAACUAAAUUUCUAAUUUUCUCUCCCUUCAAUGGCUUCCGAGAAACUCACCGAUUACGAGCUCAAGCGACUCACAACUCUCCAAUUUCAAGCGUCAAAGGUACUCUUCUCUCUUCUGUAACUUACCAUCUUUGGCUUGAACUUGAACUUGGUUCUUGCAAACUUGUGACUACAAUUUCAUGAGUCCUGGCUUUGCUAUUCAUAUUCUGAGGGUUUAUUUUUGUCUUUUCUGUUUUAAAGUGUUUUUCUUGAUUUGAUUUGCGUGGUUCAGAUUGAGAAUAAAUGAGAUACCGAUUUUAUUGUUCUCCUCUUGUGUUACAUCAACCAUUUUAUUGACUUGAUCACCUAACAGUAAGGAUUGAGUUUCUCGGUAACUUACCAUCUUUUUGGAAAUCUCCAGAGUUGAAACCAAAUCCUACAGCGUGAAACUGAAACCCCGAUUGAAAUAUUACAUUCGCCGGAACGAUGAGGUGAUGGCAGCGCUCAAACCCCGAUUGAUUUUUUUUUUGUCAGGUGUUGCAUAGCAUUGAGCCUGGUAUGACUUUCUCUUUGGCUUUUCAUUCUUGAAUUUAUGAAUUCAUCUUCUCUAGUUUCUAUAGCUUCUAUUAAGAGCGCCUGGUAGGACUUUCUCUAUUGGCUUUUCUUUCUUGAAUUUAUGAAUUCAUCUUGUCUAGUUUCUAUAACUUCUAUUAGGAGGGUCAGUGAUUUUCUUUAAUUCUUGGACUUUACAGCUAACACAACCAAUGACUCAUUUGAAGGUAUUUGAGUAAUUUUGGACUUUGUCACCAACCAUAUGGGUUGAACUGUGAACUGGUUUCUAUACUGUAAUAUUUGGAAGUGUUUCUUGUAAUCUUCCCGUGCUGUGUCGAGCCUAGAGCGGCUCCCUUGGUUUUGAAAUUUUGAAUUUACCUUAACCUUUCUAUACUAUGUCAUGUCAUCUCUUUAAAAGAGGUUGGUUUUCUCGAAUCACCAUGAUUCUUGUUCAGCUUUUAUUGGAAGGCAAUAUAUAUGUGGGCAGGUAUCAGAAACAGUGAAUGGCGGUCCAAUGAAACUUUAGGUUUUAUUAUCUUUGUGAAGUUUUGGGAUUGGAUUAAUAUUAUUGUUGGGUUGUUAAGAUUUAAUUAGUUAGGAUUUUAUUAGGAUUUUAUCAUUUAUUUAAUUAGUUAGGAUUUUAUUAGGAUUUUAUAAAUUAGUUAGGAUUUUAUAAUCUUUAGUACUCUAUAAAUAGAGUAUUGAACUAUUAUUUGAGAUAUCUAUAACUUUGUUUCCUUUCCCCAAUUCUCUAUCAUUGUUCUGGUUCUUGGUAUAAUCGGAAGCCACCUAAAGGUUCCCUUUGUCCAAAGCCUAAUCGUUCUUCGAAAUCUCUUACGAGAGGACCUAGACACUUCUACACACGAUCGUUCAUAUUAAUUGGUAUCAGCUAGGACCUUCCAGUACUUCAAUGGCAGAUUCAACACGCUUCGUUCAAGUUACUAAAGAGAUGGAAGAUCGACUCUCCCAAAUGAUGGAUAAUAGGUUGAUGGAACUCGCGACUUGUGUCUUUGCUCAAGCUACUAAAGAGAUGGAAGAUUGACUCUCCCAAAGGAUGGAUAAUAGGUUUGUCAAGGUUUCCUUCAACGUAGUCGAGUUCCAUAAACCUAUUAUCCAUCCUUUGGGAGAGUCGAUCUUCCAUCUCUUUAGUAGCUUGAGCGAAGCGUGUUGAAUCUGCCAUUCGUGUGUAGAAGCGUCUAGGUCCUCUCGUAAGAGAUUUCGAAGAACGAUUAGGCUUUGGACAAAGGGAACCUUUAGGUGGCUUCCGAUUAUACCAAGAACCAUAACAAUGAUAGAGAAUUGGGGAAAGGAAACAAAGUGCAUAUAUUAUUAAUAUCUCAAAUAAUAGUUCAAUACUCUAUUUAUAGCGUACUAAAGAUUAUAAAAUCCUAACUAAUUAGAUAAAUGAUAAAAUCCUAACUAAUUAAAUAAAUGAUAAAAUCCUAACUAAUUAAAUCUUAACAAUCCAACAAUAAUAUUAAUCAAAUCCCAAAACUUUAGGAUAUAACACUUUGCGGUUAUUCUCUUGUAGACAUGCACUAUAUGACUAUGAGAGGCUUUGACAUUUGUGUUUGUGUCUUCGACUUUGAUUAUCUUCUUCUACGUGUUGCAGUGACUUUCUACAUGUUGCACUGACUUACUAUGGAUGUCUAUUGGAUUGUGGAGGCAAUUGCGGUAGAUUAUUGGACUUACUGUGAAGCUUUAGGUUUUAUUAUGUUUCCAUUCACUAUCUUAUGUGCUUGAUUUGAAAUGGCUGUAUUCUCUCUUAUUGGUUGAAUAGUAGGAAGCUACACGUGUCAGUCACUGUGUGUCUAAGCUAGGGUGAUUCUUACUUAUGCUUAUCCUUGAUCUCGUGAUCCCAACUAUCUUCCAAAAUGAAUAUGUUCUCCAUAAUGACAAUAAUAUUUAGUUAUAUUUCCAAUAUGAGAAUGAAAAACUAUCUCUCAAGCUAUGAGAGACCUAUUCCAAAAGGAAAGCUCCAAGAGCUCUAUUUACUUCUUUCGGGUUGGGGUCUCAGUAUUUCUGAUAGGAUAUCGAACCAAACUGUAUCUUAUUUCUAACUAUAUUUCUCAAUCUUAGUCGUUUGCUGAUUUUGGUCUUUAUUAUUUAAUGUUUUUGGACUUGAUCACCUAACAUGUGGGCUGAACUGUUGUUUAUCUACAAUAGUAUUUCAAAGUGUUUUUGUAAUCUUCUUCGUGCUCUUGGUUUUGAAUUUGUGGCUUCCCUUGAUAUUUUAGAUUUUGUGAAUUUAUCUUAUUGUUUCUUUACUUUGUCAUGUCAUCUUUUUAAGAAGAUUAGUUUUCUCAAAUCGCCAUGAGUCUUCUUGAGCUUUGUCACGAGUCUUAUUGAACUUUGCCACGAGAAAUUCUUGAGCUUUGCCACGAGUAUUCUUGACCUUUUACAUGAAGGAUGUAGGGGUCAGGUUUUGGAAAUAGUGGAUGGAGAUACAGUUAAACUUUAGGCUUUAUUAUCUUUGCAUUCAUUAUUUUCUUUGCUGUUAUUCUUUUUGCUACUCUUGUGGAGUCGGAGUUUUUGUAAUUCGGCAUUUGACUUUGAUGAUUUGAUUAUCUUUUACUUGUGUUGUAGUGAUCUUUGAGCUUUGCCAUGAGUCUUCUUGACCUUUGCCACGAGUUUUCUUGAGCUUUGCCAUAUAAGACUUCUUGAGCUUUGCCAUGAGUCUUCUUGAGCUUUGCCAUCAUAAGUCUUCUUGAGCUUUGCCAUGAGACUUAUUGAGCUUUGCCAUGAGUCUUCGUGAGCUUCCAUGAGUCUGCUUGAGCUUUGCCAUGAGUCUUCUUGUGCUUUGCCAUGAGUCUUCUUGUGCUUUUCCAUGAGUCUUCGUGAGCUUUGCCAUGAGUCUUCUUGUGAUUUGCCAUGAGUCUUCUUAUGCUUUGCCAUAAGUCUUCUUGAGCUUUGCCAUGAAUCUUCUUGAGCUUUUACAUGAAGGAUGUAGGGUUCUGGUUUUGGAAACAGCGGAUGGAGUUACAGUUAAAGUUUAGGUUUUAUUAUCUUUGCAUUCAUUAUGCUGAUAAAAAAAUCUUUGCAUUCAUUAUUUUCUUUGUUGUUAUUCUUUUUGCUACUCUUGUGGAGUGGGAGUUCUUGUAAUUGGGCCUUUGACUUUGAUGAUUUGAUUAUAUUCUACUUGUGUUGUAGUGAACUUUGAGCUUUGCCAUGAGUCUUCUUGAGCUUUUCCAUGAGACUUGUUGAGCUUUGCCAUGAGACUUGUUGAGCUUUGCCAUGAAGGAUGUAGGGGUCAGGUUUUGGAAGCAACGGAUGGAGAUACAGUUAAAGUUUAGGUUUUAUUAUCUCUGCAUUUAUUAUGCUGAUAAAAAAAUUCUUUGCAUUCAUUAUUUUCUUUGCUGUUAUUCUUUUUGUUACUCUUGUGGAGUGGGAGUUAUUGUAAUUGUGCCUUUGACUUUGAUGAUCUGAUUGUCUUUUUCUACUUGUGUUGCAAUGAACACUUACCAUGGAUGUUUGUUGGACAUAUUUUGAAGCUUCAGGUUUUAUUAUUUUUCUACUCACUAUUUUUCUUAUGCGCUCGAUAUGGAAUGUCUACAGUUUUUCUUAUUGGCUAGAUAGUUGGAAGGUAUUGUAUGUAUCUAAGCAAGAACGAUAGUCUAGGUCCUCCAUCAUCUACCCUUAUUGAUUAUAGUUUUCUUGAAUUCAUUGGCCUUACAGGAAAGCUAAGCAAUGAAGUGUGGUGUAGGAUGUAAAAAUGGUGGGUGGAAAUUCUUUGAUCAGUGAAGCUAAAUGUUUUUUUCACCAGGACAUUGUUGUGUUCAUCUGAAUUAAGUUUUAACUGGCUCAACUUGUGGGUUUGAUUAUAAUCUUGGUUGUAACUUGUUGGUUUGAUUAUAAUCUUGGUUGUAUUUUGAUAAUGUAUGGUUCUAAGAGGAAUUGUGGGAUGAGCAUGAGACAAGUGCGGCUGGGCUUUAAUGUUUGAUUUGAUGGUUUGCUUCUUGGUUUGAGAAGUUCUACUAUUUAAUUUUGUUGACUUCUCUGCAUAAUUCUAUAAUAUAGGUCUUUUGUUCUAUAUAGGUCUUUGGUUCUUUUAAUAGUUUUCCAAAACCUUUCGAUUCAUUAUUCUUGAUCCCAAACAUAUGGGUUGAGUUGUGAACUUCUUUGGAAUUUUUUCAUGUAACUCUUACGCUGAAAUUUUUGAAAUUAGUAUAAGAAUGAUCCUGAAAUUGAAAUUGUUUAAAUGCUUCACUUUUGCGUCAACAAUCUCCAUAUGUGUUUGUCGUUCCUCGAUUUUUGAAAUUUGCAUUUUUUUGUUUGCAACACAUUGAGUCUUUAUCUGAGGUUUCUCUUUCAGUUUAUUAACUCAACCAGUGAUGGAAUAUAGUGGGACGACUAACCUGUCUAAUCAACCAGUUACAGAUUUUUUUUUUUUCCUUUAUUGUUUAUUGAGUUGAGUGUUUUCAAAAUAUUUUUGUAACCACUUGGGAUUGAAAGUGCAACGUUAUGCCUGGCAUUAGAUAAUUGGACUUCUUUUAUUAGUUAUCCAAACCGUUCAUUUUUUUCAUAUUUGUUCUAUUUGGACAGGAAUUGUAUGCGAGAAAGAUAAUGGAUUUUUGGAGGUGAAUUUGUUUCAUAUUUGUUCUAUUUGGACAGGAAUUGUAUGCGAGAAAGAUAAUGGAGUUUUGGAGGUGAAUUUGUUUCAUAUUUGUUCUAUUUGGACAGGAAUUGUAUGCGAGAAAGAUAAUGAAGUUUUGGAGGUGAAUUUGUUAAUUUCAGUAACGACUCUGGAGGAUUUGUAUUUUGGAGGUGAAUUUGUUAAUUCCAGUCAAAACGACGAAGAACUCUUGAUAAAGUAAUUUUCUUUGUUAUUCUAUUUCUCUACCCAAUCCCGGUGUUGCAUUAAUCCCUUUUCAGCAUACAGAACUGUGACCGAUAAGUCUGUAUGCAACGACGUUUUUGGAAAUUUUGUGUCUCAAACUUAUUAUUAGGACUUAUUACCUUGGUUUUAUCUGAUCAUUCUGGACUUGCUAUCUUCUUCUGUGGGUUUUGGUUUGGUUUCAAUUUUCCGUAUUGUCUCAUAAGUUUGUAGUAUUGGAUUUUUUUGUUUGCAUAUCAGAAACUGAACCAAUCUCAAGGCAUUAAGUUUCUAUAGUUGGAGUUGUAUGAAAUUUAGAUAGUCUCUUUAAUAUUGCAUGGUAGGUUUUUUAUACGAUGUACAAGUAUAUCCAGUUUUAUUUGGAUAUUUUUUAGCAACAAGCUUUUGGAAUAGGAUUGUGUGAGUGCUACCAUUGGAAAGUUCAACUUGAAACGACAACAACUCACAAUAGCCUAAUUUCUUCUAUAUGAGGUUUCACCUUUUACUUAACUUCUAAGGACUUGAUCACCAACAAUAGGAUUGAAUUGUGAUUUGUUUUUCUACUGUGGUUUAUGAUUGGAUUCACACAAUGUCUGGAUCUCAUCGAGCUUUUAAUGAGUUUGUUUCUUAGUUUAAGAAAUUGUCGAAUAUUUUUUUAAAUUCCUCCCCUGGAACAAGUGUUUUUGUUUUCUUGAAUUUUUGCUCUUUAAAGGUAAGACAAGCAAUGGAUGUGUGAGGACAUGUAGAAACAUAGGGAUCAAUUGAAGCUUUAGUUUGUGUUAAUUCGUGACUGGUUAUUUGAGUGCAGUCUUUUAUUUGGUGACAGAGAUGUAUCAAAAUAAAAAAAAUGGUUUAGGAUUUCCUCUCUAUUUGAUAUUUUCAGAUUUGAUCACCAAAUAUAAGGAUUUUCCGUGGUCAUUUGUUUCUCUGCAGUGAUGUUUGCAUUAUGUUUCAUGCUACGUCUAAUGUAUCAUGUUGUCUGGAAGUUUUUAUGGCUCUUGGUAACAGGCUUUACAAGAGUUUCAGAGGAUCAGGUGAUACCUAUUAUCAUAAUUGUGUCUUGCAGUGUGAAUUGUUCAAGUUUAUUCAUUUGCAAAAGGGAUCAGUUAUUCAUUCAUUUUUGCAGAAGAUUAGAUGGCUAACAUUAUUGUCUGUUCAUUUGAUCCAGUAAGAGCCCAUUCUAGAAAUGUGGAUUUCUCUUUUUUGUUGAUUUUUAGAUUUGGAAUUGUUCAAGUACCAACAGCAUGAUUUCAUGGUCUCUUAUGAUUUCCUCUGAAUUCUUGGUUGUUGUUUUGACAGGAUAGGGUUUGGGUAGACUUUGGGUUUUUGGAUUAGGAAUUGUCCAACGACCAACCAUGUGUAAAAGUUUGAAAUAUAUGAUGUGUUUGUGAGAUAUUUUCUAGGGAUAUAUAUAUAUAUAUAUAUAUAUAUAUAUUUAGUUGCUAGUUUUAUUUUUGAUUGAAUUACAUAAAUGCUUUAUUAAUAUGAUCAUUUGAUUAUAGCAGAGUUGUAGUGUUUUUUAUAAAAUUAUUCUUGGUAGUUAUCUAAUUAUUCAUGGUUGUUAUAUUAACUUUAAUAGUUAUUGUUUUUGGAAAAAUAAUCUAGAACUCUUUUGUUGGCUAAUGAUUCUCUAACAUUUUUUUUUAAUUUUAUAGUAGUUGUAUUUUUCUUUGACAAUUUAGUUUAGGUUUUUUUACCGUGUCUGAUUGUUAAUUAAAUAUUUAUUUUCAUUAGAAUGUUGAUGAUGUGAAUGAUUUCUUUUAAUGUUGAUUGUGAUUCUAUUUUAUAAAAUAUUGUGUUAUGGUAAUCAUUAAUUAAUUGCUUUGUAUGCACUCAUUAUCAUAUUGUUGUAUGACAAAUCUUAAAGCUGUCUAAGAGAGGUUCCUGGGUUGCUCGGUGGAAAGUUCUAAAACUCGCUCAAUAUAGUAAAUUAUGGAUCAUGUGCUUUUACGCAAGAAUUAUUAGUAAAUUCAUGUACAUGAAUUCAGAGUAUAAUUCUCUAGUUGAUGACUAAGAGUUUUUAACCUUUCGCUUAAAUUUCUUUGCACCUUUUAAGCUUAUGGCCGGUUCACUGAUAUUUCUUUUGCCUAUGGAUGAUAUGAAAACCCCAACAGCCAAGAGCUAAGAAUAACGGAAGUCUUUUGAGUUUCCCUUUUAUUUUAUUUUUUUCUGGUAUUGAUGACCGAACAUAAGGAUUGAACUAUGAUGUGUUUAUCUGUAGUGGUGUUUGGAUUAGUUGAGUAUAUUAGCCUUAUCAAGUUUCUAUACUUCCUCUUAGCAAGAGCGGUUAUUGUUUCCUUCAAUUUUUUGACUGUACAGGGUUUAUCGUUUCCUUCAAUAAAAUUUGGUAUUUGUGUUCAUUCCUUUUCAGCAAGUCAUGAGUCUCUGAGAUCUCUUUUGGCAGUUGAGGAACAAGAAAGGUUAUAGAUCAGGAUAUUCUAAUUUCUCUAUACUUGAUCACCGAACAUUGAAUAGUGAUUUGUUCUUAUGCAAUAAACAUAAGGAUUUAAUUUUGAUUUGUUUCUCUACAGCAAUGUUUGGAUUUUUUCGUGUAAUGUCCUGCAUCUCAUGGAGUAUGUUAUGCGGCAUAAUAGUUGAAUUGUAAUUUGCUUCUCUGCAGUGUGAAAAUCGCUUACCGUACUGCAUCUCAUGGGGUAUGUUAUGAGUGACCGAGUCUCCCUUAAUAUUUUAAUUUAUCUAAUAGUCCUUUAUUACCUGUUAUAAUUUUGUUGAAUUAUUGUUCUUUACAGGGAUGUGUGGUAAUUAGCAAGAGCUCGGGACUAUUUGGUUUCAAUUCUUUUAUAACAAAACUUUAUUUUCUCUGCUGCUAUUAUGCACGGGUAAACUUGUGGAUUGGGAAUGCUUACCUCUUUAUGACAGGUGUAAACGUCUGUGUCAGCCAUUUAAUUUUCUCUUUCUAGUCCACACUCAGACAUUUCUUUCAGCAACUGAGUUAUUUAAUCGCAAAGAGUGUUUUGUUUCCUUUCAUAUUCUUUGUUGUCAAAACAACCUUUGUUUCUUUCUUAUCAGCUAUAGUAUUUAGUUUCACUGCGAUCUCGGGAUGUGUUAUUUGGCAGUGAUGUGGUUAUUUAUUCGAGGAUUGAUGUGUUAUUUGUAAGUGAGGUGGUUAUUCAUUCGAGGAUUGAGUUCCAUUCCCUUUGCCUUGCAUUGUUUGUGUUCAUUGCUAUCAAACAACUUUCUUCCUUUUAAAUGUAUGGAGUCUAUUUUUUUAAGAUGAAAUCCCCACUAAAUGUUAAUGUUUUAUUUUUUUCUUUCUUUUUCAUCAUGUCCUAGUUAUUUGCGUUUCUCAUAGGCUUGGUCUCAUCCCUUCGACUUGCAUUUGUUCGUGUUCAUUGCUAUUAAACAACUUUCUUUUUUUAAUGUAUGGAGCCUUUUUUGCUAUGUCUAGAUGUUGAUUUGCUUGUUUUCAUUCCGUUUUAGGUGUUGAUUUGUUUGCGUUCAUUCCUUUUUAGGUGUUGAUUUGUUUGUGUUCAUUCCUUUUUAGCAUGUGGAGACCUCAAGAAUGGUUAAGGAUUAAAAUCUGGAAGUGUUAAGAACGACCAAUAAUUCAGGAUAACCUAAUUUCAUGAGUUUCCUUUCUAUUUGUCUUUAACUGGGACUGGCUAUUUGAAUUUCUCUAGUUUUUGAAUUCCUUCAAUUCAUUAAUUCAUCUUAUGCUUUCUUAAAUUCUUGGUCUUUAUUACCAAUAUCUAUUUUGAAUUUAAAUAUAGUUCUUAAAUUUUUUAUGUCUAGGUGUGGAUUCGUUUGUGUUCAUUCCUUUUUAGCCUGUAAGACUGGUUGAGGAUUAAAAUCUGCUAGUGGACACGAAAAACAAUCCACGGAUGUGAGGUAGGAUAUCUAAAUACUGGAAGGAGAUGCUUGAUUCUGUAGGUUAUCCAUACUCUUUGAUGACAGAUGCCUACUUGAGUUUGGAUGUAGUUAUUUAUUUGAUGACAGAGAUCUAUCAUAUGUAACUUUUUGUUAGUUCCUUUUCAACAGGGGAUUCUGGUUGAGGAUUAAAAAACAUAAAUUUGAAUAUUGUUUUUGUCUGAUUAUUGAAAUAUGUCAAAUCUAGCUGUUUGAUAUGUGAAUUUCUUGAUUCUUUUUCAGCAAAUCAUAGGUUAGUAAUAAUAAAGUGCUCAGGGAAGAUGUCUCCCCUUCUUUUUGAAACUUUGUAGAUUGAGCAUAUUUUCCAGACUGAUAUAUGAGGUAGGAUGUGGAAACACUUGCCAGGGGAUGUGUGAAGCUUUAGGUUUUGUUACCCUUACAUUUCUUGUGUCUUUAUUUGUGACUGACUAGACUUCUUGUUUGGAUUCUAAUUUUUGGUUGGAUUCAUUGCUAACCUUGUAGUUUAAGUGGCAGUUCUUGUGGGUUUAGAGGUCGUGUAAUUUGGGGAGGAUUUUUGUCUGGCCGAACUUCUUAAUAUGAAAUACUGAAUUGAUAGUGAAAAAAAGAUAAAGAAAAUAUAUCAUGGCCAUUAAAAGUUUAUGUUUCUCUUCGUGUUCAGCCAUGCCACUUGCCAGUGAACUCUUGCUUCUUUCUCUAUUGUUCCACAUGCAUUUUUUCAUAAUUUUUACUCUUUUUUUUAAGUUGUCCAUCUCUAAGUAAUUUAGGCUUCUCGUAGCUUUUACCAGUCCUGGAUUCAUAGUAAAAUUUGACCCUUUUACAUGGUGCAAUUGAAAUUAAGGAGAGAAUUAUUGAUCUUUAGUUUUAUAGUACUGAAUUAAUUUUGGAUAUGCUUAGGUCUAGCAAAUUUGAAAGGUCAUUUUCUUAGUUUUUACUUCAUUUACUAAAUUAUCAAGAGUAUUGGACAAUUUGAUUUUUUAGUGUUUUGUUUGCUGCAUUGACAAAUGAAUCUUGUAUUCUAUUGUUUUUAAUAGUUUUGGAUUACAUUCUGAAUAUGGCAUAUGAUGAUCUCUUCUAUCUUCCAAAAUGCGAAGGAUCUCCAACAUUAGAGUUGUAUUUAGUUCUAUCUCCAAUGUGAGAAUGAGAAAAUUGAGAGCUCUAUUUAGUUUUAUCUCCAAUUAUCUCUGUAAUAUGAGAAUGAGAAACAACAGUAGUUGGAAUGUUUUCUUGCAAUCUUCCUGUGCUAUGAUUCAGUUCUCUCUCCAUAUACGAGAAUAAGAAAAUGAGAAAGAGAAACAAGAUUAUUUGGAAUGUUUUGUCGUAAUCUUCUUGCACUAUGAUUCGGUUCUCUCCCAAUAUGCGAAUGAGAAAAUGAGAAACAACAGGAAAGUUUUGUCGUAAUCUUCUUGCGCUAUGAUUCGGUUCUGUCCCCAAUAUGCGAAUGAGAAGAUGAGAAACAAUAGCAUAUGAGAGGUCCAUUUAGUUCUAUCUCCAAUAUGAGAAUGAGAAUCAAAUGUACAUGAGAUUUCUAUUUAGUUUGAUCUCUAAUACGAUAAAGAAGAGAAACAAAAGCAUUUGGAUUGUUCUCUUUGUAAUCUUCGUGUGCUAUGAGCAACGCCUCCCCUCGAGGCUAUGGUAACGGGUGAUGCCUCUCUAUUCCAACAUGAGAGCUCUAUAUAUUUCUUUGGGGUGGGGUAUCAAUUUAUGAUACCAUGUGGAAGCAGACACCAUCUUUUUGCCGUCUAUAUUUCUCAGCUCUUGCUGAACUUAGUUUUCUUGAAUUGCCAUGCUUCUUUUUAAACUUUUACAGUAAGGCAAUAGAUAUGUGGGGGCAGGUUUUGGAAACAGUGUAUGGAGAUCUGGUGAAACUUACUGUGAAGCUUUAGGUUUUAUUAUGUUUCCAUUCACUAUCUUAUGUGCUUGAUUUGAAAUGGCUGUAUUCUCUCUUAUUGGUUUAAUAGUAGGAAGCUACACGUGUCAGUCAUUGUGUGUCUAAGCUAGGGCGAUUCUUAAUUAUGCUUAUCCUUGAUCUCAUGAUCCCAACUAUCUUCCAAAAUGAGAAUGUUCUCCAUAAUGACAGUAAUAUUUAGUUAUAUUUCCAAUAUGAGAAUGAAAAACUAUCUCUCAAGGCUACGAGUGACCUA